rnacentral:rRNA from 1 species
AUUGAACGCUGGCGGCAGGCCUAACACAUGCAAGUCGAACGAGGGGCGGACGGGUGAGUACUGUCUGGGAAACUGCCCGAUGGAGGGGGGUAACUACUGGAAACGGUAGCUAAUACCGCAUACCAUCGGAUGUGCCCAGAUGGGAUUAGCUAGUAGGUGGGGUAACGGCUAACCUAGGCGACGCUCCAUAGCUGGUCUGAGAGGAUGAUCGGCCACACUGCAAGUGAGACACGGACCAGACUACUAAGGGAGUCAGCAGUGGCGAAUAGUGCAAAAUGGGCGGAAGCCUGAUGCAGCACUGCCGAGGGUAUGAAGAAGGCCUCAGGGUUGUAAAGUACUUUCAGCGAGGAGGCGUUACUCGCAGAAGAAGCACCGGAUAACUCCGUGCCAGGAGCCGCGGUAAUUC